GAAACUGGGCGGGGGCGAGUUUCAAAAUAUUAGAUUGACGCGAUAGGUUGCCAAUAGGAUGUGAGCGUGACAUACCGCUGCUGAUUUGAGCGAUUACUAAAUGACGUAGCCUAGUAAUCGAUAGGCGAUAUAAAGGUGGUUGGCCGGGAAAUCCUAUUUCUCCUGUUUUCCUUUAUUCAAACAAAGCGGGCAAACAAAACAGAACAAAAAAACCUAACCAAAAUCACAGCUGUUGAAGAAUAUGUAUGCCAGUAGGUAAUGGAAGUUAUCCAGAACUGUAUCAGGCAGUGAGGGCUACUCAGCCUGCUAUUGGAAGUAGCUGGAACAUAUGGUUUGACCCAACCCUGAAAGGAAGGGAAAUCAACCCAACCAGAAGGAGGGAAUAUAACAAACCAACUGACAAAAACACUAUUCCAACCCAAUUCAAACAGGAGAGGCCUGUUGGCAACUUUAGGAGAAGCUAUCCAGGCUCAUGUUAGAAAGAAGGAUUCUAGAUAUCUCUAGGAGGCAGAUACCAUCCCAAUUCUAAAAUGAUGGAGUCACUUCCAGAACAAGAAAGAGUUCUACCUAACAGUGAUUGAUGAGGAACUGGUCAAUGGUACAAAACUGAAGAAGACAUCACUUCAUCUCUAGAAAUAUGGCAUUUCCAACACAACUCCCAAAGGAAGAAGUCUCCAAACUGGCUCUAGAGGGAGGGAAAUGACAACUCAGCUUUAAAAUUAAAAAAAAAAAUUCCAAAGCAGUCUCAGGAAGAGGAUAGAUUAUACAACAGGUGUCAUCCCAAAACAGUACUGGGCAUUCUCCAGAUUUUUACCACAUCACAAAAAGAGCAAUGAAAAUAACAACAGCAGGACCCAGGAUGGUGGAGGAGAAGCCCAGUUUGACAAGUUGGUUUUAGGAAUGCAGUAGUCAGUGCUAGCUGGAAUCAGCAGUAAAAGAGCAGAAGAAAUCUUCGCUCAUUAGUCACUCUUCUCUCAAUAUUUCAGUAACAAAAAGAAAAAUCUGAUCAGAAAUACGAAUAUGUACUACCUCAAAAUGGCAACACUGAUGAAACUGUUGCUUAGAGAAUAAGCUCUCAGUAUCUUCAGCACUAUGCAAAGACAAAACUCGAAUUUUAAGCCAAUAUUAGUAAAAGUAGCAGAUGGAAAUAAAAUUUCAACCCAAGUCUACUUCUUUCAGCUAAAAUAGUCCAAGAUGGAAAUUUAAGACUCAAGAGUGGAGGAUAUUAUUUUAAAAAUCCUUCAUUUCCAUGAAAAAUAUUUGUAUCUUACUUUCAAAUGUUAUUUCUUAAAGAAACUCUUUGACUGUU